rnacentral:rRNA from 1 species
UACGUAGGGUGCGAGCGUUAAUCGGAAUUACUGGGCGUAAAGUGUGCGCAGGCGGCUUCGCAAGUCGAGUGUGAAAUCCCCGAGCUUAACUUGGGAAUUGCGCUCGAAACUACGGAGCUGGAGUGUGGCAGAGGAAGGUGGAAUUCCACGUGUAGCGGUGAAAUGCGUAGAGAUGUGGAGGAACACCGAUGGCGAAGGCAAUCCCCUGGGCCUGCACUGACGCUCAUGCACGAAAGCGUGGGGAGCAAACAGG